rnacentral:rRNA from 1 species
UAGAGUUUGAUCCUGGCUCAGGACGAACGCUGGCGGCGUGCCUAACACAUGCAAGUCGAGCGGGAGACUUCGGUCUCUAGCGGCGGACGGGUGAGUAACACGUGGGUAACCUGCCUUAGUGAGGGGGAUAGCCUCCCGAAAGGGAGAUUAAUACCGCAUAACAUUGCGAUAUCGCAUGAUAUUGUAAUUAAAGGAGUAAUCCGCACUAAGAUGGACCCGCGGCGCAUUAGCUAGUUGGUGAGGUAACGGCUCACCAAGGCGACGAUGCGUAGCCGGCCUGAGAGGGUGAACGGCCACAUUGGAACUGAGACACGGUCCAGACUCCUACGGGAGGCAGCAGUGGGGAAUAUUGCACAAUGGGCGAAAGCCUGAUGCAGCAACGCCGCGUGAGUGAUGAAGGCCUUCGGGUUGUAAAGCUCUGUCUUCUGGGACGAUAAUGACGGUACCAGAGGAGGAAGCCACGGCUAACUACGUGCCAGCAGCCGCGGUAAUACGUAGGUGGCAAGCGUUGUCCGGAUUUACUGGGCGUAAAGGAUGCGUAGGCGGAUACUUAAGUCAGAUGUGAAAAUCCCGGGCUUAACUUGGGAACUGCAUUUGAAACUGGGUGUCUAGAGUGUAGGAGAGGAAAGUGGAAUUCCUAGUGUAGCGGUGAAAUGCGUAGAGAUUANGAAGAACACCAGUGGCGAAGGCGACUUUCUGGACUAUAACUGACGCNNAGAUACGAAAGCGUGGGGAGCAA